rnacentral:lncRNA from 1 species
CAAACUCAGUCUUCUAUGUUUACAAUAUAUAAUUUGGUGAAAAAAUGGAGAAAGCUUGGGCAAAGGUGAAGAAGCAAGAAGGACGGAGAAAGGCAGGACAAGGCAGCAGAGAGCAGAUCAGCUCAAGUCGAUUCUGCUGAGGAUGCUGUACUUGGAGCUGCUGCGACCAUAUUUGGAGAGGCACUGCCCGGCUGAGGAUGGUAGAAGAAGGACAGAGAGGUCAAGGUGGAAGAAGACCUUGAAAGUAUUUCGAGAACCUAAGAAGUAUGCCAAUGUAGACUGCCACCAAGUCUCAGAUGGAGAGCUGCAUAAAAAUUCUUGUAACUAGCGGAUACCAAUUAUCUUGAGGCUUUCGAAGUGACAACAGUAGACAGAUUUAGGAAUGAAGACUUAGACCCGUGUUCCUAAGAACAAUGAGAGUUCCCUUAUCAGGAUCCAUAAAUUUGGAGUCUGCUUAUUAUUACUAGUUUGCUGUGGAAUUC